UGUACUCACAGUUUCAUGAAAAUAUAUGUUUUCAAUUGAAAUACACAAUAAUAUAAAUUCAAUAUUAAUGUCACUGAUGUUGAUAAAUGUUCUUCUCUUAAAAUAAUAUGUUCUUUGGCGUCAGCUUGCAUCGUUGUUUAAUGGUGUAUUCGAAUUAUUCACAAAUAAAGCAUUCACUGUAUAUAUAUAUAUUAAAUAGUCCGAACGGUUAACAAAUUAUGUCCAACUGUAAUUUUCCUG
rnacentral:lncRNA from 1 species